rnacentral:rRNA from 1 species
GAUGAACGCUGGCGGCGUGCCUAAUACAUGCCAGUCGAGCGAACGGACGAGAAGCUUGCUUCUCUGAUGUUAGCGGCGGACGGGUGAGUAACACGUGGAUAACCUACCUAUAAGACUGGGAUAACUUCGGGGAACCGGAGCUAAUACCGGAUAAUAUUUUGAACCGCAUGGUUCAAAAGUUAAAGACGGUCUUGCUGUCACUUAUAGAUGGAUCCGCGCUGCAUUAGCUAGUUGGUAAGGUAACGGCUUACCAAGGCAACGAUGCAUAGCCGACCUGAGAGGGUGAUCGGCCACACUGGAACUGAGACACGGUCCAGACUCCUACGGGAGGCAGCAGUAGGGAAUAUUCCGCAAUGGGCGAAAGCCUGACGGAGCAACGCCGCGUGAGUGAUGAAGGUCUUCGGAUCGUAAAACUCUGUUAUUAGGGAAGAACAUAUGUGGAAGUAACUGUGCACAUCUUGACGGUACCUAAUCAGAAAGCCACGGCUAACUACGUG